AAGAAUAUAGUUUAAUUUAAAAUAUUAGAUUGUAAAUCUAAAGUUGUUGUUCUUG
rnacentral:tRNA from 1 species